rnacentral:rRNA from 1 species
CUACGCACUCCUACGGGAGGCAUCAGUGGGGAAUAUUGCACAAUGGGCGCAAGCCUGAUGCAGCCAUGCCGCGUGUAUGAAGAAGGCCUUCGGGUUGUAAAGUACUUUCAGCAGUGAGGAAGGUGGGUAUGUUAAUAGCAUAUUCAUUUGACGUUAGCUGCAGAAGAAGCACCGGCUAACUCCGUGCCAGCAGCCGCGGUAAUACGGAGGGUGCGAGCGUUAAUCGGAAUUACUGGGCGUAAAGCGCAUGCAGGUGGUUUGUUAAGUCAGAUGUGAAAGCCCGGGGCUCAACCUCGGAAUUGCAUUUGAAACUGGCAAACUAGAGUACUGUAGAGGGGGUAGAAUUUCAGGUGUAGCGGUGAAAUGCGUAGAGAUCUGAAGGAAUACCGGUGGCGAAGGCGGCCCCCCUGGACAGAUACUGACACUCAGAUGCGAAAGCGUGGGGAGCAAACAGGAUUAGAUACCCUGGUAG